rnacentral:rRNA from 1 species
GAUUAUGGCUCAGGAUGAACGCUAGCGGCAGGCUUAACACAUGCAAGUCGAGGGGCAGCGCGAGUAGCAAUACUUGGCGGCGACCGGCGCAAGGGUGCGUAACGCGUGAGCAACAUGCCCGUAUCAGGGGGAUAAUCCAGGGAAACUUGGUCUAAUACCCCAUAGUAAUUUUGUAAGGCAUCUUAUAAGAUUUAAAGCUUUGGUGGAUACGGAUUGGCUCGCGUGACAUUAGCUGGAUGGUAAGGUAACGGCUUACCAUGGCUAUGAUGUCUAGGGGUUCUGAGAGGAAGGUCCCCCACACUGGAACUGAGACACGGUCCAGACUCCUACGGGAGGCAGCAGUGAGGAAUAUUGGACAAUGGAUGGAAAUCUGAUCCAGCCAUGCCGCGUGAAAAGGAAGAAGGUCCUAUGGAUUGUAAACUUCUUUUGUAUGGGAGCAAUAAGGCCUACGAGUAGGUUGAUGAGAGUACCAUACGAAUAAGCACCGGCUAACUCCGUGCCAGCCGCUGC